AACGAACGCUGGCGGCAUGCCUAACACAUGCAAGUCGAACGAGACCUGCGGGUCUAGUGGCGCACGGGUGCGUAACGCGCGGGAAUCUGCCCUCUGGUUCGGAACAACAGUCGGAAACGACUGCUCAUACCGGAUAAUCACUUCGGUCCAAAGAUUUAUCGCCUGAGGAUGUGCCCGCGUCGGAUUAGCUCGUUGGUGAGGUAAAAGCUCACCAAGGCGACGAUCCGUAGCUGGUCUGAGAGGAUGAUCAGCCACACUGGGACUGAGACACGGCCCAGACUCCUACGGGAGGCAGCAGUGGGGAAUAUUGGACAAUGGGCGAAAGCCUGAUCCAGCAAUGCCGCGUGAGUGAUGAAGGCCUUAGGGUUGUAAAGCUCUUUUACCCGGGAUGAUAAUGACAGUACCGGGAGAAUAAGCCCCGGCUAACUCCGUGCCAGCCGCCGCCGUAACAC
rnacentral:rRNA from 1 species